rnacentral:rRNA from 1 species
CGGGUCGCAGCAGUGGGGAAUUUUGGACAAUGGGCGAAAGCCUGAUCCAGCAAUGCCGCGUGCAGGACGAAGGCCUUCGGGUUGUAAACUGCUUUUGUACGGAACGAAACGGCCUCUUCUAAUAAAGGGGGCUAAUGACGGUACCGUAAGAAUAAGCACCGGCUAACUACGUGCCAGCAGCCGCGGUAAUACGUAGGGUGCGAGCGUUAAUCGGAAUUACUGGGCGUAAAGCGUGCGCAGGCGGUUAUAUAAGACAGAUGUGAAAUCCCCGGGCUCAACCUGGGACCUGCAUUUGUGACUGUAUAGCUAGAGUACGGUAGAGGGGGAUGGAAUUCCGCGUGUAGCAGUGAAAUGCGUAGAUAUGCGGAGGAACACCGAUGGCGAAGGCAAUCCCCUGGACCUGUACUGACGCUCAUGCACGAAAGCGUGGGGAGCAAACAGGAUUAGAUACCCCCGU